rnacentral:rRNA from 1 species
CACGUAGGCCGCGAGCGUUGUCCGGAAUUAUUGGGCGUAAAGAGCUCGUAGGCGGCCUGUUGCGUCCGCUGUGAAAGCCCGGGGCUUAACCCCGGGUCUGCAGUGGAUACGGGCAGGCUAGAGGUAGGUAGGGGAGAUCGGAAUUCCUGGUGUAGCGGUGAAAUGCGCAGAUAUCAGGAGGAACACCGGUGGCGAAGGCGGAUCUCUGGGCCGAUACUGACGCUGAGGAGCGAAAGCGUGGGGAGCAAACAGG